rnacentral:ribozyme from 1 species
UUUAAUUAAGAGUUAGCAACGGAAUCCCCAUUGAAGGUUAACGGAGGCUUUUAAUCACAACUCCUACCGCAAGAAGUUCUUGCCGCGCAGAGUGGUAACAUACAUUACCAAUUAUCAAAGCUUAGGUAAGCGAGCUUGACCUAACCCCUCGAGGUUCCAAUGGCAUACGCCUGAGCA